CAAAGCAAUACAAAAAACAAUGAAGCAAGUUGAAAAUCUUCAGUUGUCACGGCUAAUUACAACCACCCUGUUCGUAAUUGUGCUAAUAAUCUUAAUGAUAGGAAUAGCACUGUCACAGCCUAAUGAUAGGAAUAGCACUGUGAUGACACUUCAAUGUAGUAGAUAUUACUAUACGAAUGAAGGGUCUUAUUUGACCAACCUUAAUGCCACCCUUACUGAACUGCGUUUGCAGUUGACCAGAAGCGGCGGUAACGCUGAAGCACAUAUGCCAAAUGGUGAUGCCGUGUGGGGCGUUGCUUGGUGCAGGGGAUAUCUCUCUGUUCCAGAAUGUCUGGAUUGUUUUGACUAUGGUGUUGGUCAGUUAAAAACAUGUGGGUCUGGCUAUGUUGGACAUGUUAUUUACAACGACUGCGAUGUCAGGUAUGAAAGUUAUAACUUUAUCCCCGAGGCUAGUGAUCGGGCUAGUGUGGCAUUAUGUGACAGUGUAACAUCUCUCCAGCCAACAGAGUUUCAAACAGCAGCCGAAAAGUUAUUACUAGACCUGCAAAUUGUUGCACCUAGAACGCCAAAUUUCUAUGCAGUUUCUACCAGGCAAAUAGCUGAUGGUAAUGCAACUGUGUAUGCAAUUGCCCAAUGUAAUCUAAACAUAAGCCAGAGUGUGUGUUUAGAAUGCUUAAAGUCGAUAUCUAGUGCUCUACAUGAUUGUCUUCCUACUAUUUCUGGCCGAGGUAUGGACAAUGGAUGCUUCAUGAGAUAUUCCAGCACUCCAUUCUUUCGACAAAACCAGACAAUGGAUCUUACAUCUCUUCUUUGGAAUGGACAUUCAACUAAGAAGAGAUCCAUAAUUUUGGGAGUCAUUGGAGGUUUAAGCUUUUUGUUGCUUGUGAUUGCAUUUUUGCUAUGGCGUUGCAGGUUAAGAAUGACAGGCAGAAGCCAACAAGAUGUGCCAGAUCUAGAUCUAAAGGGGGCAGCAGUUAAUUACAAUUACAAACAUCUGCAGACGGCUACCAAUAACUUCAGCAAAGAGAAGAUUAUAGGGAAAGGUGGUUAUGGGGAGGUAUUCAAGGCAACUCUUGAUGAUAAGAAAGUUGUGGCAGUGAAGAAGCUUAAAGUUGGAUUUGCUGGUGCAAAAGUAGAAUUCGAAAAUGAAAUCUUACUUAUAAGUAACAUUCAUCAUCGAAAUCUUCUCCGUCUAUUAGGAUGGUCCAGUGGAGAAUCUAAUCUUUUACUUGUCCUGGAAUAUAUGCCAAAUGGAAGUCUCGACUCGUUCUUAUGGGGUGCCAAAAGGGGUACCCUGAACUGGAAACAACGAUAUGACAUUAUCUUGGGGAUAGCUAAGGGUCUCGCUCAUCUACAUGAAGAAUUACAUGUGAAGAUCAUUCAUAGAGAUAUAAAGUCAAGCAACAUUCUCCUUGAUGAUGAUUUUCAACCCAAAAUUGCAGAUUUUGGGAUGGCAAGGUUUCAAGCGGCUGAUCAAAGUCAUGUUACCACAAAGUUUGCUGGGACAUUGGGCUACACAGCGCCAGAAUAUGCACUUUAUGGCGCUUUAUCAGAUAAAGUCGACACUUUCAGCUUUGGUGUUGUAAUUCUUGAAAUCAUUAGUGGUCGAAGGUGUACUGAUUCGAAAUUUAAUGGGCUGUCCACCGAUGGCCUUUUAGAACAUGCAUGGGACUUGUACGAGUAUAAAGAAUAUAUGAACUUGGUUGAUGAGACAAUGGAUUCAAAUCAAUAUGAAGAUAAACAGGUAAUGGAGAUCACUGAGAUUGCUUUGCUAUGCACUCAGGUAACGGUUUCUAAGAGACCGAACAUGUCUGAAGUAGUUUGGAUGCUUUCAAAUCACCCAUCAUUUGCGGAAAGACAGCUAACAAGGCCUAACUUCAUUGAUCACAAUAGGAAGAUUCAUAAAGGAUCUUCAUAGAUACAACUUAAGCCAGUAAAAUCAACAACUGGAACUAUACAUUGUGAAAAGGGAGAUAAUAUUGUCAGAACAAAAAUUAGCAAUCUACAACAAUACAUCUAUACAUUUGUAUACAAGAAAUCGCUUGCAAGCUAGGAGUUAAGGCCUAUAGUUGGACUUAAUGGAUAUCUGGUUGCAUUGUAGAUCUUUAGACCCGGGCACGAUGCCUCAGUUUGUUUUACAUUGUAUGGGAUUCUUACGGUUGUAUCUUGACUUGUGUUUGUCAACUUUUAGCUUUAUAUGGACAUCAUGUAUUUUCUCUGAGUAAUACCUAUUUGCAAGUUUGUUUUA